rnacentral:lncRNA from 13 species
CAGAAUCAGUGAAGGUGUACACUGCCGGAGAGAUCACAGCGAUAGUAAUAGGAGCUCUGUGUGGCUGUGUUGGUGUGGCUGUCAUCAUUUGCUUCUUAGUGAAGACUAUACGGACUAUGGAGCCAGGGAAGGAGCUGAAACCGGACGUGGCCCUCAACACGACCACUGAACCAGGAAAAAAAGAAGAUCCUGUCCCCCCCUCAGUCUGAGACCAAUCAGAGACCUCCAUGAACGACCCCCCCCCCCACCAACCACACUCCACACUCCCUGCCAAUGGGCUUGGAUGAGUGCCUCUAUGGCUCUGGUCCAGAGGAGGCUGGUUGGAGGAGCUAUGGGAGGACAGGCUCAUUAUAAUGGGUAGAAUGGAAUGAUGGAGCG